AUAUACUUCAUCCUUGCUCGAAAAAUGCACGUAAGAGUUAGGUGAGAGGAAACGACCUGCAUUUUUCGAGCAAGGAUGAACUACAUCCACAUGGUUUUCUAAUAAUCUUAAUACAUCGGCUUAAUGUUGCCUACUUUAUAAUGUUAAAACCAAUAAUGUAAUUUA